CUGAGCCGAAGGCAGACGCCUAAUGACUGAGCCACCCAGGCGCCCUGUGACUUUCUUUUUAAAUCCUCACAACAAGUCAAUGAAGGACAUAUGAUGUCUCUAUUUUUCAGACAAGGAGCAUGACCAGUAACAGAGACCCAUUAUUGGCCUGUUGUCUGGCUGCCAUGCCACCUGCCCAAGCUUAUUCAGAUAGUAAGUGGGAGAGAGGAGUGGAUGUAAGAAGGCCCAUGUUGAAGGUACUAGACUUGUAUCCUGAUUGUUUUGUUGUUCAGAUAUGUAGUGAAGUAAGGAAAUGUCCUAUUCUGUUACAUGCUUUAGACACACAUUAAUAAAUAGUUGUGUGGUGCCACACUGCAGAACUCUAGGGACACCAUUUUGUACUCUGUGCAAGUGGCAUCCCCGGCGUUGGUCCACAGGGAGGCCCUGGCUGCUUUGGUGGGCGUAUCAUUAGCGUUCUCAACUGUAAGCAACAGGAUAGAAAGCAAGAAAGGAAUUUACUGGAAGGAAAUAGAGCAGUGCACCAGGUCAGUGGGAAGGCUGGAGGAACAGACGUGGAACUACAGGAAGCAGGGCAGCGGGCAGCAGCCAGGGCCCGUUCCAGCAAGGUCUGGCCUGCCGUCAUUCUCCCCGAGCGCUCCCAUGGUGCUGCCGCUGUCUGAAAACGUCCCAGCUGCCCCGACGCUCAGAACACCAGGAUGUGUGCGCGACCUUCUGGCUUCACCACAUGCCCACACCACCUGGGCCAGGAUGCGGGAGAGCGACCCCUUCAGCUUCAGUUGAGCGGCUCCCAGUCGACUUGCACUGUGAAAAAUUCUUCAAAAAUAGGAAGCAUUCUUGAGAAACAGACAAUGAGGAUGAAAAACUCUCUACUACAACCUGUGGCUUCAGCUGUCCAGUACCACAGCCCCUUCUUCCUGGCACUUUAUACCCAACAUAGCACCUGUGCCCCAUAUAGACAAACCCAGAUAUAGCCAUUUCCUCAAAAGGAAAAAAUCUAUAGCCUACCCUCACCCCCUUUAAAAAUCUAAGAUAAGGUUUAUUUUGGGAUAAUUUUAGGUUUACAGAAAAGUGGCAAAGGCAGUGCCGUGGAUUCCAUAUACCUUUUGCCCAGCCUCCCCUGGUGUGAAUAUCUUACAUAACGUAAGAUAUUUGGAAACCCAAGGUCUUUGUUACCUUGAAGUCAGAACUCUCUGUUAAUCCUAUUAUAGCCCUAUCUGGUACUCAGUGGUCCUAGUGCAUCCUGCAUACAGCCAUGGGGGAAAGGGAGAGGAGACAAGAAAUUAGCUAAAAUAAACACACGUGACACGGCAAGAAAGGAAACAGCUGUUUCAGAAGAUGAAGGGAAAGUUCAGGCUGGCAAAAAAAAAGUAGAAAGCUGGAUGAAGCUGAGUGUGUGCAGACACAUGGACACAGGACCCAGUGAUGGAGACGGCCUCAGUCCUGUCCGCACUUGCAUGUCUGGCCAAUCCAAGCAUCCUAGGGAAUUGUGGUGCAACAGCCACUGCCUCAGAUCCCUGCAGGUCAAACCAUCUUGAUUGCCAUUCUGAUUCUGCCCGUCCUUAGUCUGCUGGGAUGGCCUUGGAUAUUUUUACUCAAGUAAAAAUCAAAGGCUCUGCUGAUACCUGACUCUUGAUAUCAACCUAGAGGCAAUGAGGAGUAGGGGGUAGGUCCUGAGGAGGCCAAACAUCAUCAUUCAAGGCAUCCACCUCAGGUGAGGCUAACAUGGAAGGGGCUGUUUCUGACACCAGGAAGGAUUCAGGGAAAUGGGUGUGUAUGUCACGAUUCUCAGAUUGUCCACCAAAAUAUCCCAACCCAUAUAUAUUACAGUAUUACUCAUCCUGCAUCUGGGCCUGAUUUUCACAUAAGACCUGCUGAGGCUGUACAUGCAGACUCCUUUGCAUUCUGCCCUGUGCCGACAGAAGAUAAGAUUCUCUGGCUUUCAUAUGUUUUCUGAAGUUGGAGGAUGACUAUCAUUUAAUUUUUGUAAACCAACAUGCUAUUGAAUUUCAUCCAAGUGCUAGAGGGGAAACUAGUUCAGGUGGGUCACUGACCAAGAGAAAUAAACAAGAGUACUUGAGACUCUUAAGAAGGUACACAGUUUCCUUCCCAGUAUGGACAUCACAUCUGCAACUACAGAAGG